rnacentral:rRNA from 1 species
GACGAACCGUACGAACGUUAUUCGGAAUUACUGGGCUUAAAGGGUGCGUAGGCGGCGCAGUAAGUUGGGUGUGAAAUCCCUCGCUUAACCGAGGAAUUGCGCCCAAAACUACUGUGCUCGAGGGAGAUAGAGGUGAGCGGAACUUAGGGUGGAGCGGUGAAAUGCGUUGAUAUCCUAAGGAACACCGGUGGCGAAAGCGGCUCACUGGAUCUCUUCUGACGCUGAGGCACGAAAGCUAGGGUAGCAAACGGG